UACGUAGGGGGCAAGCGUUGUCCGGAAUUACUGGGCGUAAAGGGCGCGUAGGCGGCCAUCUAAGUCAGACGUGAAAUCCCCGGGCUUAACCUGGGAACUGCGCUUGUUACUGGCAGGCUUGAGUGUGGCAGAGGGGGGUGGAAUUCCACGUGUAGCAGUGAAAUGCGUAGAGAUGUGGAGGAACACCGAUGGCGAAGGCAGCCCCCUGGGCUAACACUGACGCUCAUGCACGAAAGCGUGGGGAGCAAACAGG
rnacentral:rRNA from 1 species